AGAUUAAGUUAUUAAGGGCGCACGGUGGAUGCCUUGGCACUAGAAGCCAAUGAAGGACGUUACUAACGACGAUAUGCUUUGGGGAGCUGUAAGUAAGCUUUGAUCCAGAGAUUUCCGAAUGGGGAAACCCAGCAUGAGUUAUGUCAUGUUAUCGAUAUGUGAAUACAUAGCAUAUCAGAAGGCACACCCGGAGAACUGAAACAUCUUAGUACCCGGAGGAAGAGAAAGAAAAUUCGAUUCCCUUAGUAGCGGCGAGCGAAACGGGAAGAGCCCAAACCAACAAGCUUGCUUGUUGGGGUUGUAGGACACUCUAUACGGAGUUACAAAGGACGACAUUAGACGAAUCAUCUGGAAAGAUGAAUCAAAGAAGGUAAUAAUCCUGUAGUCGAAAAUGUUGUCUCUCUUGAGUGGAUCCUGAGUACGACGGAGCACGUGAAAUUCCGUCGGAAUCUGGGAGGACCAUCUCCUAAGGCUAAAUACUCUCUAGUGACCGAUAGUGAACCAGUACCGUGAGGGAAAGGUGAAAAGCACCCCGGAAGGGGAGUGAAAUAGAACCUGAAACCGUGUGCUUACAAGUAGUCAGAGCCCGUUAAUGGGUGAUGGCGUGCCUUUUGUAGAAUGAACCGGCGAGUUACGAUUUGAUGCAAGGUUAAGCAGUAAAUGUGGAGCCGUAGCGAAAGCGAGUCUGAAUAGGGCGUUUAGUAUUUGGUCGUAGACCCGAAACCAGGUGAUCUACCCUUGGUCAGGUUGAAGUUCAGGUAACACUGAAUGGAGGACCGAACCGACUUACGUUGAAAAGUGAGCGGAUGAACUGAGGGUAGCGGAGAAAUUCCAAUCGAACCUGGAGAUAGCUGGUUCUCUCCGAAAUAGCUUUAGGGCUAGCCUCAAGUGAUGAUUAUUGGAGGUAGAGCACUGUUUGGACGAGGGGCCCCUCUCGGGUUACCGAAUUCAGACAAACUCCGAAUGCCAAUUAAUUUAACUUGGGAGUCAGAACAUGGGUGAUAAGGUCCGUGUUCGAAAGGGAAACAGCCCAGACCACCAGCUAAGGUCCCAAAAUAUAUGUUAAGUGGAAAAGGAUGUGGCGUUGCCCAGACAACUAGGAUGUUGGCUUAGAAGCAGCCAUCAUUUAAAGAGUGCGUAAUAGCUCACUAGUCGAGUGACACUGCGCCGAAAAUGUACCGGGGCUAAACAUAUUACCGAAGCUGUGGAUUGUCCUUUGGACAAUGGUAGGAGAGCGUUCUAAGGGCGUUGAAGCAUGAUCGUAAGGACAUGUGGAGCGCUUAGAAGUGAGAAUGCCGGUGUGAGUAGCGAAAGACGGGUGAGAAUCCCGUCCACCGAUUGACUAAGGUUUCCAGAGGAAGGCUCGUCCGCUCUGGGUUAGUCGGGUCCUAAGCUGAGGCCGACAGGCGUAGGCGAUGGAUAACAGGUUGAUAUUCCUGUACCACCUAUAAUCGUUUUAAUCGAUGGGGGGACGCAGUAGGAUAGGCGAAGCGUGCGAUUGGAUUGCACGUCUAAGCAGUAAGGCUGAGUAUUAGGCAAAUCCGGUACUCGUUAAGGCUGAGCUGUGAUGGGGAGAAGAAAUUG
rnacentral:rRNA from 1 species